rnacentral:rRNA from 1 species
CAGGAAUUAGUUACCUGUUNGUCCNCGCCUUAAACGNUGAACACUNGUUUGUUNUGCGAUAUACUGUACGCGACUGAGCGAAAGCAUUAAGUGUUCCACCUGGGGAGUACGUUCGCAAGAUUGNAACUCAAAGGAAUUGACGGGGGCCCGCACAAGCGGAGGAACAUGUGGUUUAAUUCGAUGAUACGCGAGGAACCUUACCCGGGUUUAAAUGCAGGACGAAAUUCUGAGAAAUCAGAACCCCUUCGGGCGGACUGCAAGGUGCUGCAUGGCUGUCGUCAGCUCGUGCCGUGAGGUGUCGGGUUAAGUCCCAUAACGAGCGCAACCCCUAUCAUUAGUUGCUAACAGAUCAAGCUGAGGACUCUAAUGAGACUGCCACCGUAAGGUGUGAGGAAGGUGGGGAUGACGUCAAGUCAGCACGGCCCUUAUAUCCGGGGCUACACACGUGUUACAAUGGUCGAUACAAAGGGCAGCUACACCGCGAGGUGAUGCAAAUCUCAAAAAUCGAUCUCAGUUCGGAUUGGAGUCUGCAACUCGACUCCAUGAAGUUGGAUUCGCUAGUAAUCGUGCAUCAGCAACGGCACGGUGAAUACGUUCCCGGGCCUUGUACACACCGCCCGUCAAGCCAUGGAAGCUGAGGGUACCUGAAGUCUGUAACCGCAAGGAGCGGCCUAAGGUAAAAUUAGUAACUGGGGCUAAGUGGUAACAAGGUAACCAAGGGCGAA